AGUGAACGCUGGCGGUAGGCCUAACACAUGCAAGUCGAACGGCAGCACAGUAAGAGCUUGCUCUUACGGGUGGCGAGUGGCGGACGGGUGAGGAAUACAUCGGCAUCUACUUUUUCGUGGGGGAUAACGUAGGGAAACUUACGCUAAUACCGCAUACGAUCUACGGGUGAAAGCAGGAGAUCUUCGGACCUUGCGCGAUUGAAUGAGCCGAUGUCGGAUUAGCUAGUUGGCGGGGUAAAGGCCCACCAAGGCGACGAUCCGUAGCUGGUCUGAGAGGAUGAUCAGCCACACUGGAACUGAGACACGGUCCAGACUCCUACGGGAGGCAGCAGUGGGGAAUAUUGGACAAUGGGCGCAAGCCUGAUCCAGCCAUACCGCGUGGGUGAAGAAGGCCUUCGGGUUGUAAAGCCCUUUUGUUGGGAAAGAAAAGCAGCAGGUUAAUACCCCGCUGUUCUGACGGUACCCAAAGAAUAAGCACCGGCUAACUUCGUG
rnacentral:rRNA from 1 species